GGCCGGGGAGGCGGGGCCGGGGAGGCGGGGCCGGGGCCCUCAGGGCGCUGGGCCGGGACUGGUCUUCUCUCAGGUCGCUCAGAAAGCUGAAAGGCAGGAUAUUAGAAAGAACAUUUGCUCAAAGCAUGCAGGCUUUUUUUUUCUCCAUAAACAUAAAAAGGGGACAGCACAGGAAAAUAUGAAAAGACCGUGCUUCCUGCCGUUUCAGCGAGGAUUUCAGGCCAGAAGCAGAGGGAGGAAGUUUGGCUGGAAGUUCUGGAGCCAAUACUUGGACUAGGCUCCGGCCAGGGAGGCCCCAGGGCAUCAGCCCUGCCCUGCUGUGGGCAGGAGGGAGGGGCAUCCGCGAGCAGCACCUGGAGGAGGGCGGAACUCUGAGCCCAAGAGAACCUCUGAGAAGCACGGCAUGGGCCUUCUCCUGUGUCUGCAAUGGGCUCUCAUCCCCGACUGCACCCCGGCCCUGUGCUCUACGAAUCCUCCCUUACUGCUACUGCUGCUGCUAAGUCGCUUCAGUAGUAUCUGACUCUGUGCGACCCCAUAGAUGGCAGCCCACCAGGCUCCCUUGCCCCUGGGAUUCUCCAGGCAAAAACACUGGAGUGGGUU
rnacentral:lncRNA from 1 species